rnacentral:rRNA from 1 species
GACGAACCGUGCGAACGUUGUUCGGAAUCACUGGGCUUAAAGGGCGCGUAGGCGGGCUGCCAAGUUUGGGGUGAAAUCCUCCGGCUCAACCGGAGAACGGCCUCAAAUACUGGCGGUCUCGAGGGGGGUAGGGGCAUGCGGAACUAUGCGUGGAGCGGUGAAAUGCGUUGAUAUGCAUAGGAACUCCGGUGGCGAAGGCGGCGUGCUGGACCCUUUCUGACGCUGAGGCGCGAAAGCCAGGGGAGCGAACGGG